rnacentral:rRNA from 1 species
UACGUAGGGGGCAAGCGUUGUCCGGAUUCAUUGGGCGUAAAGAGCGUGUAGGCGGCCAGGUAGGUCGGUUGUGAAAACUGGAGGCUCAACCUUCAGAGGUCGAUCGAAACCAUCUGGCUAGAGUCCGGGAGAGGAGACUGGAAUUCCUGGUGUAGCGGUGAAAUGCGCAGAUAUCAGGAGGAACACCGGUGGCGAAGGCGGGUCUCUGGGCCGAUACUGACGCUGAGGAGCGAAAGCGUGGGGAGCGAACAGG